rnacentral:lncRNA from 1 species
CUUCUCAUUAGCUAGGGGUUUAAAAUUUAAAAUAUAGUUCAUACUAAUGAUCCCUUUUCAAAUUUUCAGGAAAGCAUUCUCCUAGGAGGUUGUACCUGAGUCCAUCACUGAAGGAAGAUAAGGAUACUAAGAGACUAAGUGCUUUGAAGACUUAUGAGAACUUCUUGGAGAGACGUAUGACCCUCUAAAGAAAAGGCUCCUUACCUCUGACCUACAUUUUCUACUUCUAUGGUUCACUCUUCCUUAUAACUUCAAUAAGUAUUCAAAUUGCAUGAACUCAAGACUCUCCACAAUCCUUCCAGCCCUCAAGAAGCAGAGCUAUUUACUGGUAAUUCAGGUUCUUCUUUUGAGCAAUGGUAUCCAUUUGUAAAACUGCUUUUUAGGAUUAUGGCAUGCAGUUUUGGCCACAGAACAGCUAAUGUAAAUGACAUAGAUAGGGA